rnacentral:rRNA from 1 species
CCUACGGGAGGCAGCAGUGAGGAAUAUUGGUCAAUGGGCGGAAGCCUGAACCAGCCAAGUCGCGUGAGGGAAUAAGGCCCUACGGGUCGUCAACCUCUUUUGCCGGGGAGCAAGGGCGGGGACGUGUCCCGGCCCGGAGAGUACCCGGAGAAAAAGCAUCGGCUAACUCCGUGCCAGCAGCCGCGGUAAUACGGAGGAUGCGAGGGUUAUCCGGAUUUAGUGGGUUUAAAGGGUGCUUAGGCGGGCGUUUAAGUCAGCGGUAAAAUAGCGGGGCGCAAACCCGUCCGGCCGUUGAAACUGGGGGCCGUGAGUGGGCGAGAAGAAGGCGGAAUGCGUGGUGUAGCGGUGAAAUGCAUAGAUAUCACGCAGAACCCCGAUUGCGAAGGCAGCCUUCCGGCGCCCUACUGACGCUGAGGCACGAAAGUGCGGGGAUCGAACAGGAUUAGAUACCCCGGUAGUC